rnacentral:rRNA from 1 species
UACGUAGGGUGCGAGCGUUAAUCGGAAUUACUGGGCGUAAAGCGUGCGCAGGCGGUUUGUUAAGACAGAUGUGAAAUCCCCGGGCUUAACCUGGGAACUGCCAUUUGUGACUGGCAAGCUAGAGUAUGGCAGAGGGGGGUAGAAUUCCACGUGUAGCAGUGAAAUGCGUAGAGAUGUGGAGGAAUACCGAUGGCGAAGGCAGCCCCCUGGGCCAAUACGUGACGCUCAUGCACGAAAGCGUGGGGAGCAAACAGG